UGCUCCUGAGUUAACGGCUUUUAACGUAUAAGUCGUUUUCAUUGUCAAGUAGGGAAUGUUCGGGGCGAUGACUAUCCUGAUUACGUUUAGGCUACUUAGCCAGACUUUUGAAAUUUCUUGGUCUGCCUGCCUAAGCCUUGUAGAAUAAUGUAAUGCCAAGAAGCAUAGGCCAUUUAACUUGCUGGGUUUGCUUUGCUUUGCUUUGCUAUUUUAAUUAAUAAUUAAUCUUAUUUAGGACCUCAAGUUAUCUUUAAAUAUGCAUUAAGUAACUUUUGGGUUGGGUAACCAAGUCACCAUUAGUUUUUAUAAUUGGCUCAGUAAUUAUUUAAUAAUUAAUUGAAAAGCAGUCGGUGUUAGGCAAAGCAUGAUUCAGAUCAGAUGAAGAAGAUACGAUAAUUGCUUCAGAGCAGCUUAAGGGGUUGAUGGAUGGAUAGGCUCUCAUCUCACCUCACAAGGUUUUGUUUUGCUUUUUGUGAAGGUGGGUCCACCUAAGUUGGACCAGCCUAGAGGUUCUUCUUCUUGUAGAGACGUGACGCCACGCAGGGAAGCAUUCCCCUUCUUCCCCAAGUAUACUUUACAGAAGAUGAAACAACGACAAGUCGUAUAAAGCAACGGGUUCGCCCGAAACAAACAAGUGAGACGUGUCUCUCUGGCAGACAAUGGAAUGGGAUUGUAAAGCAGCAUCGCGUGACGUAUGGGAGUUUGACUAAAGUCUCAUUGUGGUCAGAUAAUCGUACGGCGGUUAGGAGCGAGAGAGAUGGACACCGCCACAUGCGCACGUUCAUUAUUACAAUUGCUUUUUUUAUUUUUUUAUUAUUGUCUAUUAUUUAUUUAUUUAAUAAAUUGAUGGGAUGGAAGUAUGGAUACCCGCGCGGUGCCCCAAAUAUUCUCUCUCAUUCUUGAUUCUUCCAUCAUCGUCGACACGUUUCGCGACCACAUGAGCUCUCAAGUGGUGGGCUCCCAUCAUUUUCUGCCACGUGUCCACUGCCUCCAGUCCUUCAGCAGUAGUCGCCCUGCCGCCGUCACCGUUUUCUGCAGAAAUGGCUCAGCCUCAGCGUCAGCUGCGACUGCUACCCUACCUCAUUUUCUACAAGUUUUAUUUG